rnacentral:rRNA from 1 species
CCUACCAAGGCGACGAUCUGUAGCGGGUCUGAGAGGAUGAUCCGCCACACUGGAACUGAGACACGGUCCAGACUCCUACGGGAGGCAGCAGUGGGGAAUUUUGGACAAUGGGGGCAACCCUGAUCCAGCCAUGCCGCGUGAGUGAAGAAGGCCUUCGGGUUGUAAAGCUCUUUCGGCCGGGACGAAAUCGCACGGGCUAAUAUCCUGUGUGGAUGACGGUACCGGAAUAAGAAGCACCGGCUAACUACGUGCCAGCAGCCGCGGUAAUACGUAGGGUGCGAGCGUUAAUCGGAAUUACUGGGCGUAAAGCGUGCGCAGGCGGUUUGAUAAGACAGGCGUGAAAUCCCCCGGGCUUAACCUGGGAACUGCGCUUGUGACUGUCUCACUAGAGUACGGCAGAGGGGGUGGAAUUCCACGUGUAGCAGUGAAAUGCGUAGAGAUGUGGAGGAACACCGAUGGCGAAGGCAGCCCCCUGGGCCGAUACUGACGCUCAUGCACGAAAGCGUGGG